AUGCAGCGCGCGAACCUAGCCUUGGUGCGACGGCGGCGCGGCUGCUGUCCUCCCGUCCAACCCGCAGCACGUCGAGCCUCACCGGAGUUCCUCCAUGACGCCGGAAGCAGCUGCCACUGCCCUCCAUGGAGCCCCGACGCCUCCGCCAUGAACCCAUCCAUCCCGACCUCCUGUGCGCGCUUCCCUGCAACUCCAGACGCCGCCCGCAGCUCUCUGCAUCGAGCAGCAGCAGUUCGGGCAGAGGACGACGCCUCUGCCUCGACCGCUCGCCCCCUCUGCUUCGCGCUGGACUGCCAAGUCCCUCCCGUCCUCAUCCCCAUGCAGCUGCGCGCUCUCGCCUGCCCCCACGGCGAGCUCCGCCUCCUGCGUGCGGUCGCCGCCUCCCUCAACCUCCACCACCUGCUGCAAGUUGGUGCCCGGCGGCGGCAGAGUUGCUGCUCCCGUGUCGUGAUUGGACUCCGUGUUCUUCUCCAACAGCAAAUACGUGUUCUUCUCCAACACCAAUCAAUGGAUUUCCCGAGCCGGAUUUGA
rnacentral:rRNA from 1 species